CGGAGGGUGAGGAGGAUGGCGGAGGGAGAGGAGGAUGGCGGAGGGAGAGGAGGAUGGCAGAGGGAGAGGAAGAUGGCAGAGGGAGAGGGGGAUGGCGGAGGGAGAGGAGGAUGGCAGAGGGAGAGGAGGAUGGCAGAGGGAGAGGAGGAUGGCGGAGGGAGAGGAGGAUGGCGGAGGGAGAGGAGGAUGGCAGAUGGAGAGGAGGAUGGCAGAGAGGGGAGGAGGAUGGCGGAGGGAGAUGAGGAUGGCGGAGGGAGAGGAGGAUGGCGGAGGGAGGGGAGGAUGGCGGAGGGAGAGGAGUGAACAUUAAUGGUGGCUAAAAGCAGACCGCUUGACAGUGGCUCUUCACUCUCUCUCUCU
ensembl:lncRNA